rnacentral:rRNA from 1 species
UACGAAGGGUGCAAACGUUGCUCGGAAUUAUUGGGCAUAAAGCGCACGUAGACGGCUUGGCAAGUCGGAUGUGAAAUCCCUCGGCUCAACCAAGGAAGUGCAUCCGAAACUGCUGAGCUUGAGUACUUAAGAGGAUCGCGGAAUUCCCGGUAUAGAGGUGAAAUUCGUAGAUAUCAAAAGGAACACCAGUGGCGAAAGCGGCGAUCUGAGAAGAUACUGACGCUGAGGUGCGAAAGCGUGGGGAGCAAACAGG